GACGAACGCUGGCGGCGUGCUUAACACAUGCAAGUCGAACGAUGAAGCCCAGCUUUCGUGGGGGGUUAGAGUGGAAAACGUGUGUGAUACACGUGUAAACCACGUUUUAGACUGUGGUAUGCCUGCGGAACACUGUGUCUUAUCGGAGAUAAGCAAUCUCCCCGCAUGGUGGGGGUUGGAAGCUUUUGGUGGUUGUGGAUGGUCUCGCGGCUUAUCAGCUUGUUGGUGGGGUGGUGGCUUACCAAGGCGUCGACGGGUAGCCGGCCUGAGAGGGUGACCGGCCACACUGGGACUGAGACACGGCCCAGACUCCUACGGGAGGCAGCAGUGGGGAAUAUUGCACAAUGGGCGGAAGCCUGAUGCAGCGACGCCGCGUGCGGGAUGACGGCCUUCGGGUUGUAAACCUCUGUUACCAGGGAAGAAGCGUAAUUGACGGUAACUGGAAAAAAAGCACCGGCUAACUACGUG
rnacentral:rRNA from 1 species